rnacentral:rRNA from 1 species
GACGAACGCUGGCGGCGUGCCUAAUACAUGCAAGUAGAACGCUGAAGAGAGGAGCUUACUCUUCUUGGAUGAGUUGCGAACGGGUGAGUAACGCGUAGGUAACCUGCCUUGUAGCGGGGGAUAACUAUUGGAAACGAUAGCUAAUACCGCAUAACAAUGGAUGACACAUGUCAUUUAUUUGAAAGGGGCAAUUGCUCCACUACAAGAUGGACCUGCGUUGUAUUAGCUAGUAGGUGAGGUAAUGGCUCACCUAGGCGACGAUACAUAGCCGACCUGAGAGGGUGAUCGGCCACACUGGGACUGAGGCACGGCCCAGACUCCUACGGGAGGCAGCAGUAGGGAAUCUUCGGCAAUGGGGGCAACCCUGACCGAGCAACGCCGCGUGAGUGAAGAAGGUUUUCGGAUCGUAAAGCUCUGUUGUAAGUCAAGAACAGGUGUGAGAGUGGAAAGUUCACACUGUGACGGUAGCUUACCAGAAAGGGACGGCUAACUACGUG